CUUGAAAAACGUUUUUCUAAAAGUUUUAUUCUUUACCGUACUAUAUUUACUUAACUGAAAAAGCUAUUUUGGCAAAAAACAUGUAGGGUAAACAUUGGCAAUUUCGUGAUACUUUUUAAAUCCAUCUUCAUCAAAUAACAAAAUAUCCAUAUUGUAAAAAAGAAAAAAAAAUGGAAAAUUUAUAGAAGAGUUGAAAUAGACUAGUUUCAUCUUGUAUUUACAAGCAAACAAAAUGUUGAUGAUAAAGGAUUUUUCGAGCAGAAAAGUAACAGAAAAAGAGCUUAUAUGAAAAAUCUGACAAACGGUUUAAAAAAAUUGUAUGGCAGAAGAGUGUUUCUAAUGACAUACAGCAAUACUCAAAAAGAAAAAUUAGUGGGA